rnacentral:rRNA from 1 species
CCUGCCCACUGAUAAUAUAAAAUUUAAUGGCCGCGGUAUUAAUGACCGUGCAAAGGUAGCAUAAUCAUUAGUCUUUUAAUUAAAGGCUUGUAUGAAUGGUUGGACAAAAGAAAAGCUGUCUUCUUUAAUAUAAAUUGAAUUUAACUUUUAGGUGAAAAGGCUUAAAUAUUUCAGAGGGACGAUAAGACCCUAUAAAGCUUUAUAUAAAAUAAAUUUUAGAUUGAAGUUUUUUUUUAAAGAUUAAAAUUUAUACUUAUAUUUUGUUGGGGCAACAGAAGUAUAAUUAUUAAUAACUGCUUAGUUUAUAAACAGGUAUAUUUGUGUUAUUAAGUGAUCCUUAUUAGAGAUUUCAAGAUUAAGUUACUUUAGGGAUAACAGCGUAAUUUUUUUAGAGAGUUCAUAUCGAAAAAAAAGUUUACGACCUCGAUGUUGAAUUAAAAUUUCUAUAUAGUGCAG